CUUUUCAAACAGAUACACACACACAAGUACACGUAUACAUACACUGAUAUGAUAAUGUAGUAAUCACAAAUAGACUUUUAGUAUGCUGUCAUAUUAGUUUAUGAAAUUGACUUAUAAAGUAUAACUCUUAUAUUGUACAUUCCAUAGAUGAUAGACUCUGAUAUUGUAUUUGUUGAAGAGAGGAAGUAACAAGAAAGUCUUAGGAUUGCUUUGUACAUUUUAUAAUGUCAACUAAUAAUUGUUUUAUACAGAUAUUUUAGCUUAGGCCAUAGUUCAUACUGUUCCUUCUUUGUACAUUGAAAUGCAAUAGCUUUUUACGAAGAAAGUGAAAGUACAAGUGCUAACAAGAACUUGCCAUUUUGCCUGUGCAUUCUGUUGCAAGCUUUGGUUCUUUGGAAUAUAAGGAACACGCAGCCUCUGUCUACUAUGCAAGAGUGGAAGGCUACCGGAGAGUCCAGAAGAUAUGUUAGCUCACUUUUCAUCAUUUAGAUCAAGUCAAAAAGCCUUGUUUGUAACUGCAACAGAGUUGAGAAGUGAAUUUUCUGAGUUUCCAGAAGAAGAAAAGAAUAUGAACACUAUCUUUACCAUUGCCCACUAAUGGGAGAAAUUUUUAAAGUGGCAUAAUGAAUAUCAUCUUUCAAUCCUGCCAAUGUUUCUCUAUGACUGCAUGUAUGAUGUUGGCUGAAAUUUGAGGUCCUUUGUGAAUGUGAGGUCAAGGCCAACUGACCCUAUAUUCCUCUUGCCAAAUCUGUCCCUGGUAGACCAAGAUAAAGUGCAGGAGGUCCAGGAUUACCAUCAAAUAGCAACAACCAACAUGCCUUGUAUAUGUGAGUUUCUGAGACUGCUAUGUCAGUUGUCAAGCACACACUUAAUAUGUAAUUUUGAAUAAAUGUUGGAUGGAGGAG
rnacentral:lncRNA from 10 species